rnacentral:rRNA from 1 species
UACAGAGGUCUCAAGCGUUGUUCGGAUUCAUUGGGCGUAAAGGGUGCGUAGGCGGCGCGGUAAGUCGGGUGUGAAAUCUCGGAGCUUAACUCCGAAACUGCAUUCGAUACUGCCGUGCUUGAGGACUGGAGAGGAGACUGGAAUUUACGGUGUAGCGGUGAAAUGCGUAGAUAUCGGGAGGAACACCAGUAGCGAAGGCGGCACUCUGGGCCGGUACUGACGCUGAGGAGGCGAAAAGCGUGGGAGCAACAGG